CGGGUUGAGUGGCGGACGGGUGAGUAACGCGUGAGAAUCUGCCUUGGGGUCGGGGACAACCAGUGGAAACGGUGGCUAGAUACCGGAUAAGCCUUUGGGUAAAAAAUUUAUUGCCCCAAGAGGAGCUCGCGUCUGAUUAGCUAGUUGGUGAGGUAAAAGCUCAGCAAUGCAGCGAUCAGUAGCUGGUCUGAGAGGACGAUCAGCCACACUGGGACUGAGACACGGCCCAGACUCCUACGGGAGGCAGCAGUGGGGAAUUUCCCGCAAUGGGCGAAAGCCUGACGGAGCAAGACCGCGUGAGGGAGGAAGGCUCUUGGGUUGUAAACCUCUUUUCUCAGGGAAGAAGCUCUGACGGUACCUGAGGAAUCAGCCUCGGCUAACUCCGUGCCAGCAGCCGCGGUAAUACGGAGGAGGCAAGCGUUAUCCGGAAUUAUUGGGCGUAAAGCGUCCGCAGGUGGCGAUUCAAGUCUGCUGUCAAAGCACAGGGGCUUAACUCCGUUAAGGCAGUGGAAACUGAAUAGCUAGAGUGCCGUAGGGGUAGAGGGAAUUCCCGGUGUAGCGGUGAAAUGCGUAGAGAUCGGGAAGAACAUCGGUGGCGAAAGCGCUCUACUGGACGGCAACUGACACUCAGGGACGAAAGCUAGGGGAGCGAAUGGGAUUAGAUACCCCAGUAGUCCCAGCUGUAAACGAUGGAUACUAGGUGUAGCUUGUAUCGACCCGAGCUGUGCCGAAGCUAACGCGUUAAGUAUCCCGCCUGGGGAGUACGCACGCAAGUGUGAAACUCAAAGGAUUGGGGGGCCCGCACAACGUGGAGUAUGUGUUUAUUCGAUCACGCGAGACCUUACCAGGGCUUGACAUGUCCGGAUCCCGUGAAGUGGGGGCCUUCGGGACCGGACACAGUGGUGCAUGCUGUCGUCAGCUCGUUUAGAUGUUGGUAGUCCCGCAACGAGCGCAACCUCGUCUUUAGUUGCCAGCAUUAAGUUGCACUCUAGAGAGUGCCGGUGACAAACCGGAGGCAGGUGGGGAGACUCAAGUCAGCAUGCCCCUACGUUGGGCGACACACGUAUACAUGGUCGGGACAGAGGGCAGCGACCUGCGAAGGCAAGCUAUCCCAGCAACUCGCCUCAGUUCAGAUCGCAGGUCAUCGCCGCGUGAAGGAGGAAUCGCUAGUAAUC
rnacentral:rRNA from 1 species